GAGGGUAUAGCCCAAUGGUAGAGUGUGUACUUGGCAUGUCCAAGGUCCUGGGUUCAAUCCCCAGUACCUCCA
rfam:Camelus ferus unplaced genomic scaffold scaffold1581, whole genome shotgun sequence.